AUUGAACGCUGGCGGCGUGCCUAAUACAUGCAAGUCGAACGCAGUGGGGACGGGUGAGUAACACGUGGGUAACCUCCCAUCAGAGGGGAUAACACUUGGAAACAGGUGCUAAACCGAUACUGAUGGAUGGACCCGCGGUGCAUUAGCUAGUUGGUGAGGUAACGGCUCACCAAGGCCACGAUGCAUAGCCGACCUGGAAAGGUGGUCGGCCACACUGGGACUGGGAAACGGCCCAGAUUCCUACGGGAGGCAGCAGUAGGGGAUCUUCGGCAAUGGGCGAAAGUCUGGCCGAGCAACGCCGCGUGAGUGAAAAAGGUUUUCGGAUCGUAAAGCUCUGUUGUUAGAGAAGCGGUAACUAACCAGAAAGGGACGGCUAACUCCGUGCCAGCAGCCGCGGUAAUAC
rnacentral:rRNA from 1 species